AUUGGACGCUGGCGGCAUGCUUUACACAUGCAAGUCGAACGGUAACAGGCCGCAAGGUGCUGACGAGUGGCGAACGGGUGAGUAAUGCAUCGGAACGUGCCCAGUCGUGGGGGAUAACUACUCGAAAGAGUAGCUAAUACCGCAUACGAUCUAUGGAUGAAAGCGGGGGACCGUAAGGCCUCGCGCGAUUGGAGCGGCCGAUGUCAGAUUAGGUAGUUGGUGGGGUAAAGGCUCACCAAGCCAACGAUCUGUAGCUGGUCUGAGAGGACGACCAGCCACACUGGGACUGAGACACGGCCCAGACUCCUACGGGAGGCAGCAGUGGGGAAUUUUGGACAAUGGGCGCAAGCCUGAUCCAGCAAUGCCGCGUGCAGGAAGAAGGCCUUCGGGUUGUAAACUGCUUUUGUACGGAACGAAACGGCUCUGGUUAAUACCCGGGGCUAAUGACGGUACCGUAAGAAUAAGCACCGGCUAACUACGUG
rnacentral:rRNA from 1 species